CAGACACUAUAUUUCCAUAGUCUGAUGACUUCAUGCUGGAGAAGUUUCAUCAGACAAACCUGAGCUUGAACUAAAGCUAAAGAGCGAGAGGAUUGGGCUGCCAAUUCCUGUGAUUACUGGAUUUUUGAAGAAUGAAUACUGCUAAGCUCUGGUUUAUGACAGCUGUCGUUCAAGAGACCCAUUUGUGGAAUGCUG